rnacentral:misc_RNA from 1 species
GAUGAAGAACGCAGCGAAAUGCGAUACGUAAUGUGAAUUGCAGAAUUCAGUGAAUCAUCGAAUCUUUGAACGCACAUUGCGCCUGCCAGCACUCUGGCAGGCAUGCCUGUCCGAGCGUCAUUUCAACCAUCAAGCCCUAGGCUUGCGUUGGAGCCCUGCGGCUGCCGCAGGCCCCUAAAAGCAGUGGCGGGCUCGCUAUCACACCGAGUGCAGUAGAUUACUCUUCGCUCAGGGCGUGUGGCGGGUUCCAGCCGUGAAACCCCCUACUUCUCAAGGUUGACCUCGGAUCAGGUAGGAAUACCCGCUGAACUUAAGCAUAUCAAUAAGCGGAGGA